rnacentral:rRNA from 1 species
UACAGAGGGUGCAAACGUUGUUCGGAAUUACUGGGCGUAAAGCGCGUGUAGGCGGUUCGGUAAGUCGGAUGUGAAAGCCCCGGGCUCAACCCGGGAAGUGCACUCGAUACUGCCGAGCUAGAGUAUCGGAGAGGUUGGUGGAAUUCUCGGUGUAGAGGUGAAAUUCGUAGAUAUCGUAAGGAAGACCAGUGGCGAAGGCGGGUCUCUGGACAGUUCCUGACGCUGAGGCACGAAGGCCAGGGGAGCAAACGGG